rnacentral:rRNA from 1 species
AGGGCACCACCAGGAGUGGAGCCUGCGGCUUAAUUUGACUCAACACGGGAAAACUUACCUGGCCCGGACACUGGAAGGAUUGACAGAUUGAGAGCUCUUUCUUGAUUCGGUGGGUGGUGGUGCAUGGCCGUUCUUAGUUGGUGGAGCGAUUUGUCUGGUUAAUUCCGAUAACGAACGAGACUCUGGCCUACUAAAUAGACUGCUCAUCUUUUUGUGGGCAUAACCGUGCUUCUUCUUCGGACGGUGUACGGCUGUGCGGACGAGAUUGAGGAUUCAUAGGGGUGUGAUGCCCUUAUCAGCUGCGCGAUGCACACCCGCUACACUGCUGUAAUGCCCUUGUGUGUCCUACGCCACAGGCGUGCUACACUGAAUGAACCUCCUUCUGGAUGCUGCUUGAAAGGACUGGUAAACCCGCUGAACCUCCUUCUUGAUGGGGAGUGGGAAUUGUAAGUUUGCCUCGAUUACGACCCUGCCCUUUGUACACACAGCCCGUCGCUACUACCGAUCGAGUGAUUGACU